AAACUGAAAAACCGCAGGCCACAGACCGUCGAAGAUUAACCAGCGAAAAAAAUGGCAUUGGUCUUGAACGAGUACGGGCUCGCCUCCUCUCCCUCUCGCUCAAGUCCUCGCCGUCGCCACCACCACCCACGCCGGCAGCUUCCGGCGAGCUCCGGCGCCCCGCAGCACACCCACGAACUCCCCACGGUCCGCUCCUCCCUACCCUCCGGCCAGAUUCUCCGCUCCCGGUCUCUACCGCCCGCUCGAAACGCCACCCCCAUGGCUAGGGUUUCGGGCAGGGCUUCACCGGCGCGUCUCCGGCGGCCCAGAUGCAGAUGGAGCACGCCAUGGGAGUUCCCCAUCCACCAUGGUCGCCGCCGUCAAGGGCUUCUUCACGGAGAUGUGGAGGACGCCAUGGACCUGCAGCUCCUCAAGGUUCUAUCUUGUCCACAUCCCCUCCCCUCCCCUCCCCUUCCCGUCCCUUCCUCAUCUCGUUUCCUUCCCUUCCCACGCAGGUCAACAGGGAGGAACCCUAGCCAGCAGCACCUCCUCGGAUGACGCCUCUGCUACACCAAGAUAGAGAGAUAUAUGAUAUCUACAUGGCUGCUAUGCUACUUUUUUUGUGUGAUGAAUCAUUGUGAGUUUCGAAGAAACUUCCAAUGUUACCUCCGCCAAGUUUGCCGGCGGAAGAAGCACAUCCAUCCAUUGAGCCGUUCUAUGUCGCCUGUGGUGGCUACACCAGAGGUAUGUAUCCCCUUGAAAGCUAAUCAGUUGAUAAAAAUAGAAGCCCCUACUUCAGUUUAUUGUUUCUGAAUUGGUGCUACUUCUGAUGGCUCUUGUUUCAGUUUAUUGUUUCUGAAUUUAUACUCUGAAUUCAGUAGAUAGAAGCCCCUGAAAUUUGAGCCAUCUAUGUUAUGUCACAUCCAACAAAUAAAAUCAUAUUUUUUGUGUGUUAUGCACCAAGAUGGCUUAGCAUAUGAUGUUUCCUAUGACAAUUUAUACUUUGUUUUGUGGAACAAUUCAUACAAGGGUGCACAAUAUGGCAAACGUAUAUACGCAAUUCUUGUAAUUCUAAAAUAAUAUGUUGCCCAAAAUGAACAAUUUAUGUAGUUGCAAAUUUUACUGGAGCGAUUUCGACCGAAGGAAGUGAUGUUCACAAUCGUAGUUUUAUGUUUUGAUCUAUUUUUCCAUUUUUUUUUACAAGAGCGAACUUCUACAUGAUGCAAGCUAACUCCCAGAGCUUAUACACACUAACUGCUACUGACUCCCAAAGUGAACACAUUUUAUUGGAUAACCGCUGGACAUUUAGUGGCUAACUGAACAAAAUCGAUAAUGUGUAAAUUACUGAAACAAAAAGUGGACUGAGCACACAACGUUGUACUGGUGUGGUUUUUCAGUCAGCUAGCUUCUACAGUCAUCCAAGAGUAACACUAACUGCUGGAGCCAGGGUAGAAAGAUAAUGAAUGAAUUCUGAUUUACAGAAUGAUCUUGUUAAAGGGUAGAAGGAGCUUUUGUUCAACUUUUCCCUUGGAUGUUGGUUUUACUUGCUGAUAGUUAAUCCCAAUGUAACCUAUUUGUAUUCAUGUAUGUAGGAGCUGAUAGGCCUUCUUAUUUGACUUGUAGAUGCACACGAAGCGUUUUUCUUUUGAUGUACUUUACACACCUAUUUGUUCUGGAGAUGCUCCUUUUGUGCAUUCAUUUCAGACAUUAUUUUAUAACUUCCGUCCAUUGAGAAAUUCUGAUUUAGUUGAUUUAUCUAUGCGCUUUGUGUUAAGUAAAGAUAACCUUAUGUGAAGAACUGAAGAUAAGUCAGACAGGGUUACCGUAACUUUUGUCCAUUCACACAAAUGCUGAUGGUCGGGUUGUGUCGAUCUGAUUAGUGUUGGAGGACGAUGUAGUUUCCGAUUGCUCUUGUUUCAUUUUAUUAUUUCUGAAUUGCCCAGUAGAUAGAAGCUCGCUAGAUUAUGGUGAUUAGUCCAACGUUGUUGGAUAUUUCUUCAAUCAACAUCAAUCUGUGUAACCUUUCAAUGGAUGUAGGCCACUGGUACCUGCUGCUUUUCUGAUAAUAGUAAACUCUAGGAGUUCUCAGUUUAUACAUACUUUCAGAGAUUUUUACAGUUCAGACAAGUGAUACUAAAUUGCUAUAAUUUUUUGAUUUGUGAUAGUGACCACCUGUGCAUCGUCUCUGUGGCAGCUGUGUGUCGUGGCAUACAUACUUAAACUCUGAACUCUUUUCAAUGGUGUUGUAAAAACAUUGGCUCAUAGGUUUUGUUAGUAACUAUUAUUCAGAACAUUUUCUUUUAAGUCAAAGUCAUUUGUGAUUCACAUCGAGAGUGUGGAGGGUUUAAGUUCAGAAAUACUAGCUGACUGCCAAUGAAUUAAUGAUUAGACAUUUUUUAAUCCUAUUUACUUGUCCUCUAGGGUAACCAUAGUAGCAUCUUGAGCCCAAGAAUAGUGUUACUGCCAUUUAACGCCGCGAUGUUUUAGCUCCAGGAAUUUGGACCCUCCUGCGAUAAGAAUCAGUUGAAAAGGUUGGUCUAUGCUACUUCUCUAAGGAUGAUUAAAUGUGCUUUGUUGUUAAUUGUAGUGAUAGUGACUAUGAUUGAAUUGGUAAGGUGACAAAUUGACAGUUAUUGCUUGAUGAUCUUACUCUUUUUCGUCACAUUGCAUACUUCUUAGAUGGGAAUCAUCGAAUGUAUACAUAUAUGACAGUUAUAACUUAUAGGGGGGAAAUAACUUAUUCCCUAUAGGCUGAUUAUUAAAAAAUGUUGGACACUGUAUUAACUGUAUUUUAUUCCUGAUUGAGCAAUCUUAUGGUCUCUUGCCCUCGAGCGAGAAACAGUCGCCCAACUCUGUGCCCUCGUUCGCCGCCGCCGCCCUUCGUCCCCUCACCACCACCGCUAGAUCCCUACGCCGCCGCUCGGUGCCGCCAGCCCCCGACCUCCUCCCCGGCUCCCGGCGCUGCCCGCCCCCAUCUGCUCCCCCGAUCCCGGCGUCGCCCGGCCCCCACCUUCUCUCUCACUCUCGGCGGCGGAGGAGAAGGAUGGCGACGACGGGCGAAGACAUCGUUGGCGGUGGCGGCGGCGGCGAAUCUGGUAGAGCCCCUCUCUCUUCCCAAGCCUGCCCCUCUCACCCUCUUCCUCAAGCGGCAAGACCCCAGGGGGAUGGAGGACUGAUGACGCGGGCGUUGGUGCGCUGGCGUGUCGGUCCGGCGGUGAGAGGAGGACGCCCAUCCCAGCCCGAAGCAGCAUAAGGCAACUGAAAAGCGGAGCAGAUCAAGCACCUGGGGUCGCCUGAGGCGGCUCGGUGCACCUCCAAGUGCGUCAGUAGCUGCGUCCUCCGUGGAGCCGGCGCUCCUGGCAUCAUCAGGCCCUUCAACGUCAGAAGCAGUAGAUAUUGUGUCGGGAAGGACGAGGAGCAGGAGCAUUGGUUCAGAUUUUCUCUGUUGGCCUUGUGUUUGUUUACCGAUUAUUGGCUUGACAUGAAGAUUGAUCAGUAUGUUUUCCAAGCUACAUGGCAUGUUGCAACGCUCUUCGGAGUCAAACCCUUGGGAUGGUCCCUCAAACAUGAUGGUCUAGCUAUUACAAAUUAACCAAGAUCAGCAGGACUAAGAAAAUACAUAUUUGACACUAUUUGAGAUGGUCCCUCAAACAGCCACGCCGCCACACCUGCCGACCCCUGUGCAGCACACCCACCCCUGCGCUCGGCCACCGUGGCGGCGGCGGCCCGGCUCCAGCGUGCCGGCGGCCGUGGCGGAGGCCCCGGAGGCGGUCGUCGGGGCGGGCGGCGCGAGGUGGGAGCCGAUGGGCGCGUGGGAGUACUACGACUACCGGCGGGCCAUCUACGGCGACAUCACGCACAAGGCCAUCCUCGUCGACGCCGCCGGCACCAUCCUCGCCCCCACCGAGUCCAUGGCCCAGGUGUACAGAACAGUAGGCGAAAAGUAUGGGGUGAAGUACUCGGAGGAUGAGAUCUUGAUGAGGACCUCGAGGCCUCGGAGAGCCCCUCCGAACAAGACGCGCACAGGAGCUCUGCCUUGACGGGGAAAGCAGCGGAGUUGGUGCAGUGGCGAAUGUGGGCGGGGUCGGCCGUGGAGGGAGACUUGCUGGUCAGAGCAGCAGGAGCAAGAAGGUUGAGGCGGUUCAGGGCAAGACAAGAACAUUUAGUUGGAUCCAGAGUAUUGAGAUUGCAGAGGACUCAACAAAGGAAAUUGAAUGCAUAUAAGGAUCGAGGACCUUUACAUUGGAUGCAUGAUGAUGAUCAUCCACCGAGCAGCACAUCAUCUUGGAAAAGCAGAUGCGAAUUUCUGCUAGGUUUGCUUCUCCGGUUGUCCCUCCCAUCAACUCUCUCAGCUCCCAAACCAUUAACCCCGUCCUGGUUGUUCCUAUAUUUUCUUUUUGUUUUGUUUUUACCAAUGCACUUUUCUUGACAUGUUUUGGUGUGUUCCUUCCUACGGCCAGCUCGACCAUUUGCUCCGCAGGGAGUUUUUAGCUCAGAAGGAGCAAAUAAUUUGAGAAUGCAUUGGUCUUUUCUGCAAUCUGUUGUUCCUAAGUCAUAACUUGUUCCUUUUCUUUUUCUUAGCUGCAUGUUUUCAUCCAAGUCAGAAUUUUUAUGUGCACUUGAGAACUAACCAUGCUUGUACAGAGACAUAUAAUACAGCACAUUCGUUCCAUAGGUAGGUGUAGGGUUAACCAAUAAUAAUUGCCUCCUUUUUAUUUUCUAAAACUUACAUUCGAAAUAUGUCCCUUUAGGGGGUCCCCUAGAGUGUACAACAUACCAGUAUGCAAGGACUAAUCAGUAGUCUUGUAUGCUUAUUAGUUGACCGUUUACAUGUUUGAAUAACCUUACCUCAUGCUAAAGCCGAAAAGGUGGUCAGGUAGAGAGUCUCAACUCACCAUUGGAUCAAAACUAUUUAGUAAGCUAUUUUUCUCUAUUUUCUCAGCGAAUGAGCACAAAUUCAGAAGGGUACACAAAAGAACCCAUGUACAAAGUCUCUACUCUUUUACCAGGCUAUCCACCGUCUACACAGCAGGAUUCACAAAGGAUGCUAGCAAAGUGAUAAAAUUUGGAUGUUUUUUGGAACUAUAGCAUCACAAGCCCAAUAAGAGAAAAAGCAAACAUCCUGAAGAAUGCAUUAGGAUAAUGAUUUUACCUUGGGGUUAUACUCUGCAUUGCGUGCCUGGAGAGCUAUUGCUUCCGGUUCCAAUUUACAGUCCAGGUUGACCGUCGACACAAUAUUCUUGUCAUCAAAUCAGACACCCGAAAGCAGAGUAUACCCAGGAGAAAUCAGACCAGUAAAUAGCUCUGCCCCAUACUGUCAAGCAACCAUAUAAAAUAUCAGUUCCAAAACAAGGAAAGAGACAAUUUCUUGGAAAGAAAGAAAAAAUAUCAUACAUGAUAAAAUAGUGCUGACAGAACAGAUUUCAACUUAGUAACUUAUAGAGUUACACUUCAGAAAGCGCCGUGAGAAUAUGUGAGGCCCUGAAGCCUGAUAGCCAGUUUCAAAUAACGUAAGAUCUCAGUGCUCCAGUUUUAAUGUGAAAAGGGUACUGAUAUGCUUUUAUAUACUAGAAAAGCUAGGUAUGAGAUGCCUCUGGUAUCUACGUACCACUGUGUAACUCUGGAGUGAGGCAAUUGUAAUCAUAUAGUAGAUCACUACAUUUUAGGCUUAGGGUGUGUUUCAGAGAGCUCCACCCCACCCUCGACUUCAGUUAACUUCCAAACUCCACUCUACUUCUAAAGUUCUAAACUCUCAAGCUACGUAAGCUCCAGAUUCACAUUACAUGGAACGUUUUUGUUUUAGUACCAAUUACCCUUCUUUUUAAUUUUUUUUACAGGUGAUUGCUUUAGGGCCUUCACUACUGCUAUUUUCUGUUCUCUAAGAGACAAAUUACGAAGCAAAUCAAACAGUACAAAUAUAUUAGAGGUUGUAUUCAUUAGUUCAUGUAUAUCCAAAAAUUAAUAAUUAUCACCCUAAGAGAAAUUAGUAGUUAUAGCUAUCAGCAAGAAUUCAUGAAACCAACGGAAAUCAAAUAUCAUGUAGGAGUAUAUUGUUUUCAGUUUUCUUGUCGAACAACAUUUAUUAAUAGUUCACCAUGUAUCACUCAGUUGAUUUGGUACUACACACUGGACCGCUUGAACGUCUGAACAAGCACGAGGAUAGCUUUUGAGUGUGGACCAAUUGUCUGAAUCAAUUACUAAGUAAUUGAUGCUGCCUGAACUCUGAAUAAAAAUGCAUAGACGCUCAUGUAGCCUGAAUUUUCAUCAGGUAAUUCCCCCAUUCAUUCAUUCAGAUCCAUUCAACAUCAACCGAAUUGAAGAACACAGAUUAUAUACAACCUGAACGAACACCACAAAAAGCGAAGAAAUAGACAACCAAACAAUAAUCAGGAAUCUACCAUGUCAGAAUAUGGAAACUCACCAGUAGUAGACUGCUUUGUAGCCUCACUGGAACCGAGCAUGAGGAAGGAGGCAGAGCUAUGGCUGGAUGCAAAUGAGAAGGGCGACCGGGGAGAUGAGGCCACCACGCGACGAGCAGGAGAGUCAGCAGCGCCACAGCGGACCGCGGCGGCCGGGGAGUGGGGCAUGCGGCCAGCGGGAGCAGCUGACCUGCGACGGCGGCAGGCCGCAAGAUGCGUGACAGCUUCUCCCACGACCAGCUCUAAGGGAGGUAGUGCCACCUAGAUCCAGACAGCGAGCUCUUCCGCCCAUCCAAGUCGAAUUUGACUGCCGAGGAUUGCGAAUCUGCGGCGCGUGGGCUCGGUGCCUAGCAGUGGCGCGAGAGGUCGUACGGCGGCGGAGGGAUCGAACCGUCGGGUGACGGCGCCGAGAGAGCGUUCGGCGAGAUGAGAGAGGAAGAGAGUGAGGCAGUGAUAGGAGUCUGCGUGAGUUUGCUUUUUCUUUUUCUAGAAACUUUUUUAACAUACUGUGCAGCAGCACCGUAUCCGAACCGUCUGGUGCAUUGCAAGGCAAACACACAAGCGGUCGUCAAACAAAGGAAAAAAAAUCUCUUCCACAUGCUGUGCAUUCUGAUGUUCAUUUUGCACCCCUCACUGCAGUCUACUACGACUAUGCUUUGCAAGAUUGUUGCGAGGCUUGCCUUUCUUUGCUCUCCUAUAUACAGUACGUGACUGCCAAUUAGCAUCAUCAUGUUAUCGGUAGUAGGCCAUCAAUUUGCUUAUUUAUGCCAGUCGGUCCUAUAAGCAUCCAUCUUUGAACUGUUCUAUAUAGCAGAUAGGGGAGCAUGUGUAUGUUUGCUAUAUUCCAGUGUCCUGCUGAAGCCCAAACUAAAGCAUUGUAAUAUUUUUUUUAAAGGUCAUCCCACGAGGUACUUAAUUUCACUGUGGUUAUGAUCAUUUCAUUUUUAUUGGUUGUAACUAAUUUGACUCACGCGUGAUAGAUCAUGCCUGCACCCUUGAAGCUACAUUUAUAUGGUCACGUAAAUCACUGGUUGGUAUUCUAAAGAUAUUAACUUCGACAUAUAAAUCAUUGGUUGGUAUUUCAAUGAGCGAGGACAGUUGAAUACUUGAAAAUCAUUACUUGUAUUAUUUCUUUGUAAUAACAUCAAAGAUAAUGAUUAGUGAUAGUGUAUUCAUCUACCUAAUUGCUUCAUCCAUUUUGCACGGUGAGUAUUUUAUAAUGCAUAUAUAUUCUUACAUAUUGCACAUAAUAGCCUCAUGCUAACGACAUAUAUUGCUCGUGUGGGAUAGUUACAAUCUUUGUACACUUGCUUAAAUACCAUGUGAAUUACGCCAAAGACAACAUAUCUAAGUUAUACAUGAAUUUCUUAAGCGUGUCAAAGCAGAUAUGUUACAUUACUUAGCUGAAUCAUUGUUUUCUAUACUUUAUACAAGUACGGCCUGUUAUAACAUUUUGGCCAUCGCGGGUGGCCCAAAUUUUGGGGAGCCUGAGCUGGUUGCAUGGUUAGAUUUUGCGGAGUCUAUUGGGCGCCGCUUGGAUGUAUGAGUGACAAACACCGUGGGAAUGAAGCUAAAGACAACUUUCCUGAUAUUGUUAAAGAAUUUCUUAAGUGUAUCAUCUAGAUAUUGAUAAUUUGUAAUAGAUGUUUAGAUGAAACAUCGCUCAGUUUGUUACAUGGACAUGUCGUUAGUCUUUCUUUUUGUUAUCAAUUUUCAUUGCAAAAUGGACUUCAAUUGUUCAGUAAUUGUGUUCGUGUUAUAUUGUUUAUGCAUGUGAAAUUUAACAUGUAACUCUUGUAAACUUUGUCAAGAGCCCGUGACAACGCACGGGCCCUCUACUAGUAAUUGUAGUGUCAUAGUUUGUUUCAUUUAUUGCCUUAUAGACUCAUUUUGCCUCAGGAAGCGCUAUGUUACAGUAACAUAUUAUGUUACUCCAAACACCUCUCUCUUCAUUAAAUAUUUGCUACAUAAGCAAAAUUGUCUUGAGAUAU